rnacentral:rRNA from 1 species
CUUGCCUAGAUGAAUUUGGUGCUUGCACCAAAUGAAACUAGAUACAAGCGAGCGGCGGACGGGUGAGUAACACGUGGGUAACCUGCCCAAGAGACUGGGAUAACACCUGGAAACAGAUGCUAAUACCGGAUAACAACACUAGACGCAUGUCUAGAGUUUAAAAGAUGGUUCUGCUAUCACUCUUGGAUGGACCUGCGGUGCAUUAGCUAGUUGGUAAGGUAACGGCUUACCAAGGCAAUGAUGCAUAGCCGAGUUGAGA